CGCUGUUCCUCGUCCUAAGGACCUCUGCUGCCACACAGCACUGCGCUCACCUUCUUCGCCGGCAGAAUUGCUACGCUGAAAGCCAGGCCCCGGGAAUCAGGGCAAACGCCACUGAAUUUGAAACUGGCGGGUGGCCUCAGUGAAAGGCUGCCGGAACAACCCCCGCCGCUGCGCAUGCGCACUCCGGGACGCGCGCUAACACGCAACAGCCAGAAUCUAUUUUAUAAUUAACCCAGCAAUAUUUUCUCAAGAAAUAAUAAUAAACUAGAAGAAUGUAAAUGAGAACCGCAUUCUUUCUUACAUUAAGUGACAUUUUUAAUGAUUAUACAGAAUAUAUGUGUGUGUGUGUGUGUGUGUGUGUGUGUGUGUAUUCAUCUAUGUCACUAACAAA
rnacentral:lncRNA from 10 species